CCCUUAGAUGUUCUGGGCCGCACGCGCGCUACACUGAUGCAUUCAACGAGUUUCUUCCUGGUCCGAGAGGAAUGGGUAACCUUUUGAAAGUGCAUCGUGAUAGGGAUAGACUAUUGCAAUUAUUGGUCUUCAACGAGGAAUUCCUAGUAGACGUAGUUCAUCAGACUGCAUCGAUUACGUCCCUGCCCUUUGUACACACCGCCCGUCGCUCCUACCGAUUGAAUGCUCAGGUAAGCCAUUCGGACUUUCAUCAUGCUGGUUUCCAGUUUUGAUGAAGGAAAGUCUUGCGAACCUUAUCAUUUAGAGGAAGGAGAAGUCGUAACA
rnacentral:rRNA from 1 species